AAAAAAAAAAAAAAAAAAAAAAAAGUAUUCUGACAUGUCUCAUUAAUUCAGGCCAUUAAAAAUGCAAAAUUUUCUUCCACUGUUGUACCCCAAUAAAAUGAUGGUCACAAGUUAUGAUGUGGGCUCCAGGCAAGACUAGAGCCUGACAUACCCAGUACCUCACAGAUACAUCAAAACCAAACAGAGAGGGAGAGGAAUGUGGAAAGAAGGAAUCAACAGCAGAACCCUACGUCUGGUCAGAGGACCGAAUAUUACUAACACGAGCGGGAAACAGUGAAAAAUAAGUGUAUAGAUAUUGAUCGGAAAAGACUUGUUCUCUUCCUGUAAACUACUUAUUGAAAUGAAGGACAUCAUUUAUGGGAUACUGUAAAGCCGUAAUGUACUGUAGUGUUUUGCUUGAGCUGCAUUUCCUAGAAGCCACUAGAAAGAAGGGCACGUGGAUCACCUACUUCUGUGCUUCAGUAUAAACAAUUUCUCAGAUUGUUAUUGACUUUGUCUGCCUGAUUCCAGUUGUCCUACAGUAUGUGGACAAAUGCUUCAAGGCAGAAGUAACUGGUGAUAGCUUUUAUUAUAUAGAGGCAUACUCAUAUAUUUAGAAGAUAUCCCCUAGCAGAAAUAAGAAUCCUCACCAAGACCUGAUGGAGGAUGGCAACAGUUCCAUAUUCAACAUACAAGGAGGCUGUACUACUGCUCAGUUUGCUCUGACUGGAAAUAUGAACUCAAGGGUUAACAGACAAGCUUGUGUCUUUGUACAAAACUGAUAUGUCAUUUCUGACCUUUGCUGAGUCACUUCUUACACAUCCCCAUGUGAGUGGAAUGAGACAACACAACCACCCUGCUCUCACAGAGUCCAUCAAGUUUCCUUUGGAGGUGAUUAGAAACACUGCACAUUGCCCUUAAAUUAUGGAUACACUCAAGUGCAGCUGUACUGCAAAGUAGUUUUUUAGUUAGAGACAGCUGCAAUAUAAAUGUCUAAAAAACCAUUGUGAUUCAAAUUCACACACAGAUCAAAAUAACAGAAAUAUGAAUGUCUCAAAUAUCAUCAGAAAGCAUAUUCAUACACAAGAAGAAAAAAAUAAAGAAGUUUAAACAAAAGGUAUUCAAACCAAUGAGUUUCAAAUAGACUUUAAAAUAUUUUGUUUCACCAUUGGUAAGAGUCUUAAUUUUCUAAAUCAAUAUGAAGACAGCAGAGAUCUCUCUACAGAUUUUUUCUGUUAUUGGAAUAAAACAAACCCCUUCAGUGUAGAAAAGCCUUUCUGAAUACAGGAAAGUUAGCAGCUGGUAGGGUUAGUAAAGUAUAUAUACAUAUAUUAUUUGGUAAUAAAUACAUGUGUGGGAAUUGCUGAGUCUUGGCCUGAACCACUGAUUGAUCACCUGGGGAAAGGACCAGGUCAGUUCUCGGAGCA